rnacentral:lncRNA from 1 species
UAUGGAGGUUCCCAUGCUAGGGGUGGAAUCAGAGCUCUAGCUGCUGGUCUACACCACAGCUCAUGGCAAUACCAGAUACUUAAUUCAGUGAGCGAGGCCAGGGAUUGAACCCACAUCCCAUGGAUCAUUGUUGGAUUUGUUAACCACUGAGCCACUAAGGGAACACCUUCCCCUUAUUUUGAGACAGGCUUUCUACCAUAACCCUGCUUUGCCUGGUUCCCUCACCAUCUCUAGUCCAUAAUUUAAAAUCAUCCCAUUUUGAUAGUCCUCCCAAAAGAAACUCUCUUAGGGCCUCCAGUGCCAGCUUAGAAUUAGACUAAAUUUACUUCACUCCUAUUUGACCUUUGUUCACUUUCCUCUAACAUCUCCACCCCCACCUCUUGCUCUCCUGAGUUCCCAACCAAAAUGGUGAGGGCUACAUCACACUGCCAGUGGGAUUCAAGGGCUAAAAAGAAAUUACUUCGUGGAGUUCCUGUCGUGGCUCAGCGGAAAUGAAUCUGACUAGGAACCACAAGGUUGCGGGUUCAAUCCUUGGGUUUGAGGAUCUGGUGUUGCCGUGAGCCGUGGUGGAGAUCACAGACACGGUUCAGAUCUGGCAUUGCUGUGGCUGUGGCAUAGGCUGGCAACUGUAGCUCCGAUUAGACCCCUAGCCUGGGAACCUCCAUAUGCCUCAGGUGCAGCCCUUAGACGACAAAAAGACAAAAAAUAAAAAAUGAAAAAAAAGAAGACAUUACUUUUCAAGGCCCUGACUCUGAAAGCAAAUGAUGAAAAUAGGAGAAGCUUAGUAUAAAAUGGCAGCCUCUGUACUUCAGCAGCCCUAAUGGCAGAAAAGAAAUGAGGAGAAAAAAUGGGGACCCAGGUUAGUUUCAACACAACAAUCUGAAUGUUCCAAAGCCUGAUUGCAUACACCUUCUCUGACCAUCUUCUGCACUGUCAAAUGGAGACUAGAAUAUGCUUUCAAGAGUUAGACCUAUUUUCCAAAGGGAAAGGUUAAAGCUGAGUCUCAAGAGAUCACAUCAGUGUAAAGCCUGUGUUUCAAUUCUGCUCUAUCCAUUUCUCUUCAGGCUGAGGCUCCACCAAAGACUGACAGCAUCAUGUGUGGGUGAUUUCCAGCAAUGUGCACAUUUCCUGCCUCGCCUCUACCAUGAUGCAUCCUUAUGUCACUUAUUAAUGCUUAUGCCAUUGCAAUCCCUCUCCUUUCUUCUAAAGUUAUUUUUUCUCUUUAUAAAAAAGGAUAUAUUCAUUAUAAAAAAUUUAGAAAAUAUAAAUGUGUUCUUGGCUAAGUAAGAAACGGGUCCAGAAACUCUAAAAAAAUUAUUUUCUGAUUCUCUCCAGAGAAUAAAAAAAGUGAAAUUCAAUCUUAUUUUGUGGAUGAACUAAGUUUUGAAAUUUUCAAUGGAGGUGUAUCAUCUGUCACUCUGGUUGCACUCCUUCUUUAAAGCAAUAUCAUGAAAGGCUGUUAGAUUUCUAAUAAGUCCACAAAAUCCUACAUAAUGAAUAAUGGCGCUGAACUAUAGCAUGUGUAGAGCUAGGACACCAAGUCACCAGACACAAGACUUCUUCUAACAGGCAGGGGCUUUGCCAGCCAUUUCUAAAACUUCAGCACUGGCACAUAUUCGUCAUGAAAUAAUGGUGAUUUCUAACUUUGACUUUACAAAGAGAGAGGAACUGGCCAUCUCCUCCCUCAAGCAGCAUCUUAAGAGCACCCAAAGUUUCCAUAGUUGGAAGGAAGUUGAAAAAAACUGGUUAAAGAAGGGAACUUCAGUGUGUAAGGGUCGCUUUUAGAUUGACUGCUGAGCAAUUGGGGACCUGCUUACUAGAAUGUAUGAAGAAUGAUUUUAGCAUCUCUUACUCUAUUGGUGACACAUACAGUCAACAGUCAGUCAUAUUUAUUAGAUGGUGCUCUUCUAUUUGUUAAUUAACAUAUUAGAUUUUGGAAGGAACACAGAAGUAUUUCUGAAGGCAACGACUUCAGUAAAUAUUCCAGUAAAUAUUCUACUCUCUGGGCCUACAACCUUAAGCACAAAAGAACUAGAGAAUAAUAUCUGUACAAAGCAAUGUAAUUUAAGUAACUUACUCUUUAUAAUGGGUUGAUUUCUUGAAAGUUUGGAUCUCACUCACUGGUGCGUUUCCUUUAAUUAAAAUUUAUUCAAUAAAUAUUUGCCUACAGUCUCUGUGUGACAAGUGUUGGACUAGGUUCUAGGUAAACAACUGUAAUCUCAGCCCCUUACAAAGUUUAAAAUAGAUAAAUUCAGGAGAAGACUAGCAGGGAGAAAGUACCAAACACACAAAUAUGUUUCCAAUCUGUAAUAGAUAUUGUAAUGGGGAAAAAUAUGGAAAGACUUACUGAAAGGGAGUAGGAGUAAAAAGCAUUUCAGGUAAAGGAUCUAUGUGCAUGGUACUCAAAGACCUGACAGAAAAACAAUGUGGCUGAACAAGUGAGCAAAGGGGCAAGUGGCAGGAGUCUGGAUUCCAUUCUAAGUCCAAGGAAAGCCACUGAAGGCCAAAGCCAGAGGGACAUGACCCAGUAUAGGUUUUAGAAAUAUUAUUUUGACUACUGGAUGAAGGAUAUAUGUAAAGAGGUUCAAGAUUGGAAGCCAGGAGGGGAAAAGAAAAUAUGGCAGGGUAGAAGGACUUAAGCUUACUUCCUCUCACAAAAGUAUCAAAAAUUACAACUAACUGCUGAAGAGCUGUUGACAAAAAAGACUGGAACCUACCAAAAAAGACUUUCUAUAUCCAAAGACAAAGAAGAAGCCACAAUGAGACAGUAGGAGGGAUGCUUUCAUGAUAUAAUCAAAGCCUAUACCCACGGGGUGGACAACCCACAAGCUAGAAAAAAUUGUAUCACAGAGAUUCUCCCACAGGUAUAAGUUCUGAGCCCCACGUCAGUUUCACCAAUCUAGGAGUCUGGCAUUGAAAGGAGGAGCCCCCAGAGCAUUUGGUUUAGAAGGCCAAUGGUGCUUGUGUGCAGUAGUGCCACAGGACUGGGAGAAACAGAGACU